rnacentral:lncRNA from 10 species
CAAAUAUUACCUCCUCCCAUCACUCAUAUCCCAUUACCCUGCUUCAUCCUUCUCCAUGACACUUCUCACCACUUGACAUACAUUUAUAAGUUUAGUUUGUGUAUUGCCAAUCUAGCCCCUACCCCAAGUCCUAAGUAAGUGGGGUCUUUGUUUUGUUCACUGCUUCUUCCCCUGACAGCUAGAAUAGGGCCUGGCACAGAAUACGUAGAGAGUAAUUUUUUGUUAAUAUUUGCUGAAUUUGAGUGUCUGUUUUUGCUGCUGGAUUAUGAGUC